CAUGCAAGUCGAGGGGAAACGACAUCGAAAGCUUGCUUUUGAUGGGCGUCGACCGGCGCACGGGUGAGUAACGCGUAUCCAACCUGCCCACCACUUGGGGAUAACCUUGCGAAAGUAAGACUAAUACCCAAUGACGUCUCUAGAAGACAUCUGAAAGAGAUUAAAGAUUUAUCGGUGAUGGAUGGGGAUGCGUCUGAUUAGCUUGUUGGCGGGGUAACGGCCCACCAAGGCGACGAUCAGUAGGGGUUCUGAGAGGAAGGUCCCCCACAUUGGAACUGAGACACGGUCCAAACUCCUACGGGAGGCAGCAGUGAGGAAUAUUGGUCAAUGGACGAGAGUCUGAACCAGCCAAGUAGCGUGCAGGAAGACGGCCCUAUGGGUUGUAAACUGCUUUUAUAAGGGAAUAAAGUGAGAGUCGUGACUCUUUUUGCAUGUACCUUAUGAAUAAGGACCGGCUAAUUCCGUGCCAGCAGCCGCGGUAAUACGGAAGGUCCGGGCGUUAUCCGGAUUUAUUGGGUUUAAAGGGAGCGUAGGCCGGAGAUUAAGCGUGUUGUGAAAUGUAGAUGCUCAACAUCUGAACUGCAGCGCGAACUGGUUUCCUUGAGUACGCACAAAGUGGGCGGAAUUCGUGGUGUAGCGGUGAAAUGCUUAGAUAUCACGAAGAACUCCGAUUGCGAAGGCAGCUCACUGGAGCGCAACUGACGCUGAAGCUCGAAAGUGCGGGUAUCGAACAGGAUUAGAUACCCUGGUAGUCCGCACGGUAAACGAUGGAUGCCCGCUGUUGGUCUGAAUAGGUCAGCGGCCAAGCGAAAGCAUUAAGCAUCCCACCUGGGGAGUACGCCGGCAACGGUGAAACUCAAAGGAAUUGACGGGGGCCCGCACAAGCGGAGGAACAUGUGGUUUAAUUCGAUGAUACGCGAGGAACCUUACC
rnacentral:rRNA from 1 species